rnacentral:misc_RNA from 1 species
GCAUUCCUCAUUGACAUAACCCACCCGCUGGUACGAGCCAAUGCGGGCUGAGCAGUCAUUCUAAGAGAAGCGAGAACGCUAAAAAAGGCAAAUCAAGAUCCCAUGAGACCCCAUGCCCACAUCGGGUUCCUCUUUGUCGUAGCCCACCCGCGGUACGAGCCAUACGGGCUGGGGAGUCAUUCAAAGAGAAGCGAGACACGGAACUAGAAUCACAUGAGACCCCUUGCCCACAUCAUGUUCCAUAUCCAUGAUACCACGCAACACUCAAUGGUCCACACCACCAACGCAUGCAUUAGUGAUGUGGUUCAAAGAGAGUGCUUCAAGGUUCAUCUCAUGCCAUGUAUAAAUGACACAAGAUGAAUUCGACUUUGAUCGAUCAAAGAGAAUACCAUCACUUUGGUAGCCAGCACAGGAAACCCACAAUCCGCCUAGGCGAUACAAGCCUAUAAACAGACAACUGAAGAGGUAUGCCAGGUGA